rnacentral:lncRNA from 1 species
AGGAACAUCCAAAUCUCCUCAGCGGUUAAACCGACCCCAAACCACUUCUGGGAAACCACCGGUAUCCACUGCUUUGGGGAACUCUGGAUGCUCGUUAUGCCAAACGCUCUCAAAGUGAAGGAAGAUGAUUUCCCCCCCAUCUUGACCACCCCCCAGUCUUCGCCGCCAAAAACGGACUCCGCCGGCUAUCCUCGGCCCGGUACCAGUUGUUGGAUCCAAGAGAAUUCCGGAACCCAAACGGCUCGCUCAAAGCACUUUAUUGGCAGUGAAACCGCAAGUAACCCGGAGCCCUCGGCGCGACCACGGCUAGAAUCAGAGCCUAAGGCGUGUGAGCUCAGCCAUCCCACGUCUGUCUUCACGCUCAUACGCAAGCCCGACACACCGGGGCUCCCACUUAAUGAAUACUGAAGAGUAGGGCUGUCCCUACCGCUUCUCACUUCCUUGUUUUCAUCUUUUCGUUAUUAUUAAGCGACCUAACACAAUAAACAUAUUACCUUGUUGGUAACCCUUUUGUAAAGUCAUUCUGAAAGUGCUGUUUGACUCCGUUGCUUGGGUAAUAAGCACGCCUGGGUGAUUCUUGCCCCCUACUGGCUGCGCAUCCUACAAGCCUAGUGCUGAAAGCAAACCAAGUAGCUGGAACAGUUGGAGGUUACAGUGUGAACUCUUCCAG